rnacentral:misc_RNA from 1 species
GAACGCACCUUGCGCCCUUUGGCCAUUCCGAAGGGCAUGCCUGUUCGAGCGUCAUUUCACCACUCAAGCCCAGCUUGGUGUUGGGGCACCCGGCCGCCCGGCGGUCGGGGCCCUCAAGUACAUCGGCGGUCUCGCUAGGACCCUGAGCGCAGUAACUCGCGGUAAAACGCGCCUCGCUCGGAAGUUCCCAGCGGGCUUCCAGCCGCUAAACCCCCUAAUUUUCUUAGGUUGACCUCGGAUCAGGUAGGAAUACCCGCUGAACUUAAG